rnacentral:lncRNA from 1 species
UCAGGAGUCGGACAGGCUGGUUGGAUGGUGGGUUGAUUUCAGCUGGGCUUGCUCAGGCAUGUGCGGUCAGCUGGCUGGUCAGGUGCGACUUCCUGGUCCAGGAUGGCCUCCGCUGAAAUGACUCUGUUCUGUUCCAUGUGUUUAGUUUGUUUCUUUGUUUUUGUUUUGUUUUUUUGUUUUUGUUUUUGUUUUCUAUCAUGUUACACCAGGCUUGUUCUCCUGAUGGCUGUGAGGGUUUAAGAGAAAAGUCGAACUGUGUGAAGACCUCCUGAGACUUAGAACUGACAUACUAUCACAUCUGUCACUGUCCUUUGCUAGAAGAAGCCCCAAGAACUACCCAGUUUUCAGGAUAGAGAGGUUGAACCCCUAUUUCUGGGCUCCUUCCCUGGUCUAUGCUCAUGGUCAGCUUUUGGCUUCAGCCCACGUCCUGGGUUUUCUACUCUGGCACGAGUCCCGCUCUUCCCAAACAUGCCUUCCUGCUCUUCUCCCACUGGACACAGCCGAUCUGACAGACACGGACUCCCAUGGGUGAUUCCUGCUCUCAGCCUCUCUCCUGACUUCCGGCCUGAAGAAGCCUGAAGGCAGAACGUUAUGCGCAUGUCUGUAAUACCUGCUGGUUCUAUGGGUGAUCC